GAACGAACGCUGGCGGCAUGGAUUAGGCAUGCAAGUUGAACGAACUCCUUCGGGAGUGAGUAGCGGAAGGGUGAGGAACGCGUGAGUAAUCUGCCCCCCAGUUGGGAAUAACAGUUGGAAACGACUGCUAAUACCGAAUGUGGCUUAAGCUUCGCCUGGAGCUUUGGCUAAAGAUUUAUCGCUGGGGGAUGAGCUCGCGUCCCAUUAGGUAGUUGGUGAGGUAACGGCUCACCAAGCCGACGAUGGGUAGCUGGUCUGAGAGGAUGGUCAGCCACACUGGGACUGAGACACUGCCCAGACUCCUACGGGAGGCUGUAGUCGAGAAUCUUGGGCAAUGCGCGAAAGCGUGACCCAGCAAUGCCGCGUGUAUGAUGAAGGCCCUCGGGUCGUAAAGUACUGUCUCCCGUGACGAAAUUUGACGGUAGCGGGGAAGGAAGCCACGGCUAACUACGUGCCAGCCGCCGC
rnacentral:rRNA from 1 species